AAGAAGAGGUUGAGAACGAUAAGAAUCAUCACAGCCUUUUGAAGAGGGGGAAGAUGAUAAGAGGUUGAGGAUGAUAAGAAGAGGUUGAGGACGAUAAGAAUCAUCACAACCUUUUGAAGAGGGGAAACAGCCUUUUGAAGAGAAUGAAGAUGUAAGAAGAGGUUGAGGACAAUAAGAAUCAUUGAAACCUUUUGAAAAGGGGGAACAGCCUUUUGAAGAGGGUGAAGAUGAUAAGAAGAGGGGAAGAUGAUAAGAAUCAUCACAGUGUUCACAGUGUUAUAAGAAGAGGUUGAAAACGAUAAGAAUCAUCACAGUGUUCACAUUGUUAUAAAAAUAGAUUGAGGACGAUAAGAAUCAUCACAGUGUUAUAAGAAGAGGACGAUAAGAAUCAUCACAGUGUUCACAGUGUUAUAAGAAGAGGUUGAGGAUGAUAAGAAUCAUCACAAUGUUCACAGUGUUAUAAGAAGAGGUUGAGGAUGAUAAGAAUCAUUAUAGUGUUAUAAGAAGAGGUUGAGGACGAUAAGAAUCAUCACAGUGUUCACAGUGUUAUAAGAAGAGGACGAUAAGAAUCAUCACAGUGUUAUAAGAAGAGAUUGAGGAUGAUAAGAAUCAUCACAGUGUUCACAAUAUUAUAAGAAGAGGUUGAGGACGAUAAGAAUCAUCACAGUGUUCACAAUGUUAUUAAAAGAGGUUGAGGACGAUAAGAAUCAUCACGGUGUUCACAAUGUUAUUAAAAGAGGUUGAGGACGAUAAGAAUCAUCACAGUGUUCACAGUGUUAUAAGAAGAGGUUGAGGAUGAUAAGAAUCAUCACAGUGUUAUAAGAAGAAGACGAUAAGAAUCAUCACAGUGUUAUAAGAGGAGGUUGAGGACGAUAAGAAUCAUCACAGUGUUAUAAGAAGAGGUUGAGGACGAUAAGAAUCAUCACAGUGCUCACAAGAAUAAUCACAAUGUUCACAAUGUUAUAAGAAGAGGUUGAAGACGAUAAGAAUUAUCACAGUGUUCACAGUGUUAUUAAAAGAGGUUGAGGACGAUAAAAAUCAUCACAAUGUUUACAGUGUUAUAAGAAGAGAUAGAGGAUGAUAAGAAUUAUCACAGUGUUAUAAGAAGAGGACAAUAAGAAUCAUCACAGUGUUAUAAGAAGAGGUUGAGGACGAUAAGAAUCAUCACAGUGUUAGAAGAAGAGGUUGAGGAGGAGGAGGACGACAAGAAUCAUCACGGUGUUAUAAGAAGAGGUUGAGGAGGAGGAGGACGAUAAGUAUCAUCACGGUGUUAUAAGAAGAGGUUGAGGAGGAGGACGACGAUAAGAAUCAUCACAGUGUUAUAAGAAGAGGAGGAGGACGAUAAGAAUCAUCACAGUAUUAUAAGAAGAGGUUGAGGAGGAGGAGGAGGACGAUAAGAAUCAUCACAGUGUUAUAAGAAGAGGUUGAGGACGAUAAGAAUCAUCACAGUUUUAUAAGAACCCUAUAGAUUUCAAGUUUGUACCCUUAACCACUCAAACAUAUUAACGUUUGUUGAAAAAUUUUAUUGUUUUUUUCAUUUUCAU